rnacentral:rRNA from 1 species
ACGAACGCUGGCGGCGUGGAUAAGACAUGCAAGUCGAACGAGAGAAUUGCUAGCUUGCUAAUAAUUCUCUAGUGGCGCACGGGUGAGUAACACGUGAGUAACCUGCCCCCGAGAGCGGGAUAGCCCUGGGAAACUGGGAUUAAUACCGCAUAGUAUCGAAAGAUUAAAGCAGCAAUACGCUUGGGGAUGGGCUCGCGGCCUAUUAGUUAGUUGGUGAGGUAACGGCUCACCAAGGCGAUGACGGGUAGCCGGUCUGAGAGGAUGUCCGGCCACACUGGAACUGAGACACGGUCCAGACACCUACGGGUGGCAGCAGUCGAGAAUCAUUCACAAUGGGGGAAACCCUGAUGGUGCGACGCCGCGUGGGGGAAUGAAGGUCUUCGGAUUGUAAACCCCUGUCAUGUGGGAGCAAAUUAAAAAGAUAGUACCACAAGAGGAAGAGACGGCUAACUCUGUGCCAGCAGCCGCGGUAAUACAGAGGUCUCAAGCGUUGUUCGGAAUCACUGGGCGUAAAGCGUGCGUAGGCUGUUUCGUAAGUCGUGUGUGAAAGGCGCGGGCUCAACCCGCGGACGGCACAUGAUACUGCGAGACUAGAGUAAUGGAGGGGGAACCGGAAUUCUCGGUGUAGCAGUGAAAUGCGUAGAUAUCGAGAGGAACACUCGUGGCGAAGGCGGGUUCCUGGACAUUAACUGACGCUGAGGCACGAAGGCCAGGGGAGCGAAAGGGAUUAGAUACCCCUGUAGUCCUGGCAGUAAACGGUGCACGCUUGGUGUGCGGGGAAUCGACCCCCUGCGUGCCGGAGCUAACGCGUUAAGCGUGCCGCCUGGGGAGUACGGUCGCAAGAUUAAAACUCAAAGAAAUUGACGGGGACCCGCACAAGCGGUGGAGUAUGUGGCUUAAUUCGAUGCAACGCGAAGAACCUUACCUGGGCUUGACAUGUAAUGAACAACAUGUGAAAGCAUGCGACUCUUCGGAGGCGUUACACAGGUGCUGCAUGGCCGUCGUCAGCUCGUGUCGUGAGAUGUUUGGUUAAGUCCAGCAACGAGCGCAACCCCUGUUGCCAGUUACCAGCACGUGAAGGUGGGGACUCUGGCGAGACUGCCCAGAUCAACUGGGAGGAAGGUGGGGACGACGUCAGGUCAGUAUGGCCCUUAUGCCCAGGGCUGCACACGUACUACAAUGCCCAGUACAGAGGGGGCCGAAGCCGCGAGGCGGAGGAAAUCCUAAAAACUGGGCCCAGUUCGGACUGUAGGCUGCAACCCGCCUACACGAAGCCGGAAUCGCUAGUAAUGGCGCAUCAGCUACGGCGCCGUGAAUACGUUCCCGGGUCUUGUACACACCGCCCGUCACAUCAUGGAAGCCGGUCGCACCCGAAGUAUCUGAAGCCAACCGCAAGGAGGCAGGGUCCUAAGGUGAGACUGGUAACUGGGAUG